rnacentral:rRNA from 1 species
UACGUAGGGUGCAAGCGUUAAUCGGAAUUACUGGGCGUAAAGCGUGCGCAGGCGGCUUUGCAAGACAGAUGUGAAAUCCCCGGGCUUAACCUGGGAACUGCAUUUGUGACUGCAUGGCUGGAGUGUGGCAGAGGGGGAUGGAAUUCCGCGUGUAGCAGUGAAAUGCGUAGAUAUGCGGAGGAACACCGAUGGCGAAGGCAAUCCCCUGGGCCUGCACUGACGCUCAUGCACGAA